rnacentral:rRNA from 1 species
AGUGAACGCUGGCGGUAGGCCUAACACAUGCAAGUCGAACGGCAGCACAGUAAGAGCUUGCUCUUACGGGUGGCGAGUGGCGGACGGGUGAGGAAUACAUCGGAAUCUACUUUUUCGUGGGGGAUAACGUAGGGAAACUUACGCUAAUACCGCAUACGACCUACGGGUGAAAGCAGGGGAUCUUCGGACCUUGCGCGAUUGAAUGAGCCGAUGUCGGAUUAGCUAGUUGGCGGGGUAACGGCCCACCAAGGCGGCGAUGCGUUGCUGGUCUGAGAGGACGAUCAGCCACACUGGAACUGAGACACGGUCCAGACUCCUACGGGAGGCAGCGGUGGGGAAUAUUGGACAAUGGGCGCAAGCCUGAUCCAGCCAUACCGCGUGGGUGAAGAAGGCCUUCGGGUUGUAAAGCCCUUUUGUUGGGAAAGAAAAGCAGCAGGUUAAUACCCCGCUGUUCUGACGGUACCCAAAGAAUAAGCACCGGCUAACUUCGUG